UACGUAGGGUGCAAGCGUUAAUCGGAAUUACUGGGCGUAAAGCGUGCGCAGGCGGCUUUGCAAGACAGAUGUGAAAUCCCCGGGCUUAACCUGGGAACUGCAUUUGUGACUGCAUGGCUGGAGUGCGGCAGAGGGGGAUGGAAUUCCGCGUGUAGCAGUGAAAUGCGUAGAUAUUGGAAGGAACAUCAGUGGCGAAAGCGGCUUCCUGGACCAGUACCGACGUUCAGGCACGAAAGCGUGGGGAGCAAACAGG
rnacentral:rRNA from 1 species